rnacentral:rRNA from 1 species
GAUGAACGCUGGCGGCGUGCCUAAUACAUGCAAGUCGAGCGAACGGACGAGAAGCUUGCUUCUCUGAUGUUAGCGGCGGACGGGUGAGUAACACGUGGAUAACCUACCUAUAAGACUGGGAUAACUUCGGGAAACCGGAGCUAAUACCGGAUAAUAUUUUGAACCGCAUGGUUCAAAAGUGAAAGACGGUCUUGCUGUCACUUAUAGAUGGAUCCGCGCUGCAUUAGCUAGUUGGUAAGGUAACGGCUUACCAAGGCAACGAUGCAUAGCCGACCUGAGAGGGUGAUCGGCCACGCUGGAACUGAGACACGGUCCAGACUCCUACGGGAGGCAGCAGUAGGGAAUCUUCCGCAAUGGGCGAAAGCCUGACGGAGCAACGCCGCGUGAGUGAUGAAGGUCCUCGGAUCGUAAAACUCUGUUAUUAGGGAAGAACAUAUGUGUAAGUAACUGUGCACAUCUUGACGGUACCUAAUCAGAAAGCCACGGCUAACUACGUG